AACGAACGCUGGCGGCAUGCCUAACACAUGCAAGUCGAACGAGACCUCCGGGUCUAGUGGCGCACGGGUGCGUAACGCGUGGGAACCUGCCCUUAGGUUCGGAAUAACUCCCCGAAAGGGGUGCUAAUACCGGAUAAUGUCUUCGGACCAAAGAUUUAUCGCCUUUGGAUGGGCCCGCGUUGGAUUAGCUGGUUGGUAGGGUAAAAGCCUACCAAGGCGACGAUCCAUAGCUGGUCUGGGAGGAUGAUCAGCCACACUGGGACUGGGACACGGCCCAGACUCCUACGGGAGGGGGCAGUGGGGAAUAUUGGACAAUGGGCGGAAGCCUGAACCAGCAAUGCCGGGUGAGUGAUGAAGGCCUUAGAGUUGUAAAGCUCUUUUACCCGGGAUGAUAAUGACAGUACCGGGAGAAUAAGCUCCGGCUAACUCCGUG
rnacentral:rRNA from 1 species